rnacentral:rRNA from 1 species
UACGUAGGGUGCAAGCGUUUAAUCGGAAUUACUGGGCGUAAAGCGUGCGCAGGCGGUUUUGUAAGUCUGUCGUGAAAUCCCCGGGCUCAACCUGGGAAUUGCGAUGGAGACUGCAAGGCUAGAAUCUGGCAGAGGGGGGUAGAAUUCCACGUGUAGCAGUGAAAUGCGUAGAGAUGUGGAGGAACACCGAUGGCGAAGGCAGCCCCCUGGGUCAAGAUUGGACGCUCAUGCACGAAAGGCGUGGGGAGCAAACGAGG